GACCCCGCACAAGCGGUGGAUCAUGUUGUUUAAUUCGAAGAUACGCGAAAAACCUUACCAGGUCUUGACAUCCCUUGCAAUGCUGUAGAGAUACAGUGGAGGUUAUCAAGGAGACAGGUGGUGCAUGGUUGUCGUCAGCUCGUGUCGUGAGAUGUUGGGUUAAGUCCCGCAACGAGCGCAACCCUUAUUGCUAGUUGCCAUCAUUUAGUUGGGGACUCUAGCGAGACUGCCAGUGAUAAACUGGAGGAAGGUGGGGAUGACGUCAAAUCAUCAUGCCCCUUAUGACCUGGGCUACAAACGUGAUACAAUGGCUAUUACAGAGGGCCGCAAAGCUGUGAAGUGAAGCUAAACCCUUAAAAAUAGUCUCAGUUCGGAUUGAAGUCUGCAACUCGACUUCAUGAAGCCGGAAUCGCUAGUAAUCG
rnacentral:rRNA from 1 species